GACGAACGCUGGCGGCGUGCUUAACACAUGCAAGUCGAACGGAAAGGCUCCAGCUUGCUGGAGUACUCGAGUGGCGAACGGGUGAGUAACACGUGGGUAAUCUGCCCUGCACUCUGGGAUAAGCCUGGGAAACUGGGUCUAAUACUGGAUAUGACCUUUCUCCUUAUGGGGUUUGGUGGAAAGUUUUUCGGUGUAGGAUGAGCCCGCGGCCUAUCAGCUUGUUGGUGGGGUGAUGGCCUACCAAGGCGACGACGGGUAGCCGGCCUGAGAGGGUGAUCGGCCACAUUGGGACUGAGAUACGGCCCAGACUCCUACGGGAGGCAGCAGUGGGGAAUAUUGCACAAUGGGCGGAAGCCUGAUGCAGCGACGCCGCGUGAGGAAUGACGGCCUUCGGGUUGUAAACCUCUUUCAGCAGGGACGAAGCGUAAGUGACGGUACCUGCAGAAGAAGCACCGGCUAACUACGUG
rnacentral:rRNA from 1 species